UGCAGGCAAGCGUGAGGUUUGUAGAGGUUGCUGGAGACAGCGACAGCCCUUGACGGGCGGGAUCCUCGAACUCAGGGCCUGCUUUUUU
rnacentral:ncRNA from 16 species